rnacentral:lncRNA from 1 species
UAUUGAGUGGCCGUGAGCCCAGGGAGCUGCCUGGGGAUGACAUCUCUGCUUUGCCCUGUCAGCUUUUCCUUUCCUUUCCUUUCUUUUGUUCUUUUGUUUUUUGUUUUUUAAAUUUGAGUUUCGUGAUGGGAUUCGAUUCCUUAUCCUUACAGAGGGAGUACUUUUCAGAUUGAGCUAUCUCCCCAGCCUGAGUACUUAUUUAUUUAUUUAUUUUUUAAAAACAACAAAACCUUGAAAUAAAUGUUUAACUGAUACAUAAAAGCAUAAAUGGGCCAUACUUAUAUGUAAUGCAGUAAGUGAUGUUUUGACACAUGUAUGCAUUGUGUAAUAUUUAAAUCUGGAGCCCCUCUCCUCAAACAGUCAACAGCUGUUUGUGGGAGGAACUUUGUAACUCCUGUUUUGUAGCUUAGAAAUGUGUAGUGCAUCCUGGUGUACGUGUGUGUUGCCUGAUGGUGCAGUUGCACCCCAGAGCUUGCUCCUCGCCAGCUAUUCCGGGUCUAUGGAUUUCCUUUCCUACUCUGAGCCAGAGGUGUGUGUGUGUUAACUUCACAAAUGUGAUCCGGUCCGUCCACAUUAAGUUUUGAGGAUCACUGAUUUCUAGGGGAAGCUACUGCUUCUAUGUAAUGGUAAAAAAAAAAGUUUUAAAGCCAAGAUUGAUGACCUAAGUCUGUAAUCCUAGCACUCAGGAGACUGAGGCAGGUGGCUCACUGUAUGUUCGAGUGUUUCUAGGCCAGCUGGGGCUAAAAAGUGAGACCCUGCAUAAAAAUCUAAAUCCCCAAAGAGGAAUGGGGGUGAGAUGACUCAUGUAACACAGUAAAGUUACUAUGGCAAGCCUAAUGACCUGCGAUUCGUUCCUGGGGCUCAAGUUGUAUUAGGAGGCAAUAGACUUCCACAAGUUGUCCUUUGACCUCUGUGUAGGUGCUGUGUGUGUGUGCACGUGCGCAUGUGUGCGUGUGUGCCUGCCUGCCUCCUCAAGUAAAUGAAC